rnacentral:lncRNA from 1 species
CUUAUCUCUUCUUCCUUCUCUUCUCUCCCACCUUCUCUGUUUUAUCUUCUUUCUUUUCUUCUUCCUUCUAUUAUCUUCAUCAUUCUCUUCUCUAUUCUCUUCCUUCUAUUCUCUCACACCUUCUCUCUUUUUGUUAUUCCUUUUCUUCUUCCUUCUCUUCUCUUUUCUCUUCUCUCUAUUUCUUUUCUUCCAGAUCAUACCCUCCACCCCUCCAAUCAAGAAACAACAACACAACAACACAAUCAAGAAAUUGAAAGAGAGGAUUUUCGAAUUUUGAAAGAGAGGAUUUUUGAAUCUGGGUUUUUGAUUCUUCAUACAUGGAAUUGAUUUCUAACCACUUGGGUUUGAUUUUCGAUUGGAAGAGGAAGCAAUCUGAGUUGAUUUUUGAUUUGAUGAUUUUUUUUAAAGAAGUUGUUGUUGUUGUUGUUUUAAGUUGAAGUUGUUGUUGUUGUUUCCCAUUCAAAUUCCAUUUGAUUUUGCUUUUCUGGUUUGGAAUUGGGUUAAAGAAGAAUUUUGUGUUGUUGUUGUUGUGUUGUUGAUGAGUGAUCCAAAAAUUUAAAAUUGAUUAGAAGGGGAUGGAUUGGAACAACUAGGAAAGAAGAGAUUGUUGUGUUGCUGUUGUGUUGAUGCUGCGAUGCUGUGUUGCUGGAAAAAAGAUGGUAGAAGGAGAUUGAAAAAAGAGAGUGAGGAAGAAGAUGAAGAUGAAAAAGAAAUAAAAAAAAAAUCAAUUAAAUUUUUAAUAAAAAAAUUCAAAUGGAAUAAAAAAAUUGCAAAAGAAAUAAAAAAGCCAAGUCAGCGUGCCAAAUAUGCAAUUUUAUACAGUCAGCGCUCCAUGUCAGCUUAUGUGCACAAUCAGAUUGGUUCAGGGGUGUAAGCCAAAAAAUCUUUAUUUUACAAAGGGGAAUUCAAGUUUUUUUUUUUUUUUUAUAGGGGGUAUACCAAAAGACCCCAUAUGGCAGGGGGUAAAAGCCCAUUAAUUCAAAAAAAUAUCUCACCAUUUUUCUAGCUUAAAGAAAAAACUCACGAAGUUUAUAAAUUAUUGGCCUAAAUAAUUUGUCACAAACGUUGAAAUUUUGUUCUAUAUUGUGUUAUCUU